rnacentral:rRNA from 1 species
GUCGGGUCCUAAGGCGAGGCCGACAGGCGUAGUCGAUGGUCAACGGGUUGAUAUUCCCGUACCCGUAUGUGCGCGCCCAGUAUCGAAGCGGUGAGACUAACCACCCUGAUCUGCCGAUCGUUG